UUUGAUUGAUGCUUUAUUUGUAUUGAUUUCCAAGCGGUGUUUGUGUGGCUAGUCUAAUGUUGUCGUAGCAGUUUCACGGGUAGAGCGUGCGCUGAUCGAGGUCUGGGGCGUUGAAGCACACAGGAAGUGUUAUGUAACAGAUAUACACAUACCCGAGACGUUCUCUACACAAUGAAACCUGUUAAGUUAGGACGUCUUCACAAUUGUCUAGAAGAGAAAAUGUACUGUGUUAGGUAUAGCUAUAGGGACACCUAUAUAAUACUCUCUUUCGAAUUGGGAAAAAAAUGGUUUGGAGAGAAUAUUAAUUAGAACAUAUCCUCACACCACUUGUCCCCUCUAAUCUAACAUUUUGUAUCUACAUCUUUCAUAUGCUGCGGGUCACGUUUAUGGAGACGUAACUUGGGCAGAUUUUUGUCAAAUGGUUAAAAAUUGUCCUCACUUUACACGUUUUAUCCCCCCUCUCAAAUUUUAUAUAGAGUUUGAUGAUACUAUAGGCUAAUCCUUUUGCUACUUUAAUAUUUGCGUGAUACAUGUUAUAUAUAUAUAUAUUUGUACAAAUACAUGUAUAUAGACUUAUAUUCCUGAAAAAUAAGUUAUGAAACCACCAAUCUGUGAUUGAUACUAACAGGGAUAAUCAGUUUUCGUGAAGUUACUUUUACUGUUUCACGGGUAAAGCGUGUGCUGAUCGAUGUCUGGGGCGUUGGAGCAGACGGGGUAUACGGAGCAGACAGCGCGUGUUAUGUAACAGAUAUACACAUACUAUAUACCCAUGACCGUUCACAGUCCAGUCAGCUAUGUUAAAUAGUACUCUCUCUCUCUCUCUCUCUCUCUCUCUCAAAUUUUAUAAAGAUUAGAAUUUGCUGAUGCAAGGUUUUCCUUUCCCUACUUUGAUAUAAAUUUAUGUUAUCCAUGUUUUGUUUUUAAAUAUUUGUACAAAUACAUUGUAUAGAAUUAAAUUCCUGAAAAACAAUUUAUGAAACCACAAAUAUAUGGAGCGCCAAAUUAACAUAAACUCAAAUAAUUGAAGAUAUCUUCAAUUAUUUGAAGAUAUCAUCAAUUCAAUUAUUGCUCUCUUUAAUUGAAUUAAUGCGCGCAUUAAAUCAAUUAUUGCUCUCAUCAAAUGAAUUAAUGCGCGCUUCAAUUCAAUUAUUGCUCUCUUUAAUUGAAUUAAUGCGCGCAUUAAAUCAAUUAUUGCUCUCAUCAAAUGAAUUAAUGCGCGCUUCAAUUCAAUUAUUGCUCUCUUCAAUUCAAUUGAUGCUCGCAUUAAUUCAUUCAAUGAGAGCAUGGCAAUAAUAGAUUUGAUGCACGCAUUAAUUCAAUUAUUGCUCUCUUCCAUUCAUUUGAUGAGAGCAUCAAUUUAGUAGAAAUAUGGCUCGCAGUAAUUAAUUUAGAGCUCGGUAUAAAUAAUUUGAUGAUCUCUUUAAUUCAAUUGAAGAUAUCUUUAAAUCAUUUACAAUGCUUUUGUAUAAGGAAUUAAUGCGCGCAUCAAUUCUUUUAAAGAGAGCAACAAUUCAAUUAAAGAUAUCAUUACUUCAAUUGUGGAUAUGUUCAAUUGAAGAUAUCUUUAAUUAUUUAGUUGCUCUCUCUAAAAGAAUUAUUGCUCUCUUCAAAUGAAUUAAAGAUAUCAUUAAUUCAAUUGAAGAGAGCAAUAAUUGAAUCAAUGCGCGCAUUAAAUCAAUUAUUGCUCUCAUCAAAUGAAUUAAUGCGCGCAUCAAUUCAAUUAUUGCUCUCAUCAAUAGAUUUAAUGCGCGCAUUAUAUCAAUUAUUGCUCUCUUCAAUUGAAUUGUAGCGCGCAUCAAUUCAAUUGUUGAUAUCAUUAAUUCAUUUGAAAGAUCAUUAAUUCAAUUAAAGCGCGCAUCAAAUCAGCUGAAGAAUUAAUGCUCUCAUCAAUUCAAUUAAUGCGCGCAAUCAUUCAGAAUUGAAGAUUUCAUUAAUUAUUUGAAGAGAUCUUUAAUUCAAUUGUUGUGUGCAUCAAAUGAAUUGAUAUCUUCAAAUAAUUGAAGAUAUCUUCAAUUAUUUGAGUUUAUGUUAAUUUGGCGCUCCAUACAAAUAUGUGAUUGAUACUGACAGGGAUAAUCAGUUUUCGUGAAUUACCUUUGCCGUUUUACGGAUAAAGCGUAUAUACAAUGUAUAUGCACUUGUAUAUGCAUGGUCAUCUUCCGACAUUGGUAUAUGAUAAUCUACCCUUAUAUUGAAUGUAUGGUUCAAUAAAGGUAACAUGAGAAGUUUUUGUAAAAUGUGUUUUACAAGCGAUGCAUGAACAUGUAUAUGGCAACCUAAUGAUUUAUUUAUAGUAUUGCUGAACAAACGACCUGUUUUCAGUUUAUGAUCAGUAUAUAUUUUUUUACGUUAACGGGAGAUAACUCGCGUUUGUUGAUGGCAUUAAUCAUCUACAGGUGAGACCGUGGCAAGGACAGCGGGACCGCGGGGGGCGCGCGGGGGAUAUGCAGGGUUAUCUGAGAUAUACCGCGGUAGCUCUUUCCCGCGGGGGGAGCGCGGAAAAUACGGGAUCCGCGCUGGCCGUACUGUACAUAGGCUCCAAUAACAGCAACCCUGUCUGUUCCUGUUCACUGCUGCCAAACUUCAGAGCUUGGGACAACAUCAGUAGCUGCUGAUGAACACAAACCGCAAAUGUUAUUUGGGUUUCAAUAUGUUGGAUGCCAUGGAAAAGGCAUCUCAAUUAUCCAUUAAAAUCCUCAAAAUAGAAACAAGCUGAGCAUCCUCAACUUUUUCUGUCAGGUGUAGGAUCAUAUAUCAAAUUCUUUGUCUUGAUCUGUCUCAUUCUAAAUCUCCGUCAACAUAAAUGGUAAGAAAGCAGGUUCUUCAGUAACAUCUUGAAGCAACUAAAAACAAAACAAAUAUUGUAAAAGUACAUAAAUAGCACAACUGUUUCUAUAUAAUGUUCGGUGCAGCAUGUCAUUUGAUUGGCUAGAGAAGAAGUACAUUAUAUAUCAAUCAUAUAACCUAUGAUAUCUAUAUAAUUUAUCACAAUGUGACUGAUGACGUAAAAAAGAAAUAAGUAAAUAAAUCCGCUUGACAUUGCAUUUAAACAUUCUGAGGGGAAAUAAAAAUUCACAAAUAAAAUGUAAUAAAUAAAAUAAUAGCUACAUAGCUAAUUCAAAAUCAAAAGAUUGUGCCGGGCUUGUAACUUAUGAUUGUGAAUAUUGGAUCAUUUACAAGCAUCAAAAAAUAAUGCAUAAAACGAAAUUUAGGAACUUGUUACCUUUCAACUACAUCAACAGUUACGGUACAUAAAUGAUUUCUCAUGAAAGGCAUCGAUAAUCAUAAUGGCGACAGGGCCAGCAGUUUCACACGCCACACUUCAAUUGUCGAAAUUUUCUGAUGAAAUGUUGUCUUUUCCUUGUUGCAUUCGCCAAAGGGAUACUUUGAGUGUUGGAUUAGACUUAUCGGCAUGGAAAACCUGGUAGCUACCACGUUUGUGAGGGUACAUAGCUUCGGAGCAGUGACGAGUGUUUCGCUUGUCUUCGUUUUUAAAAUUGCGCCUUCUUCGUUUACAUCCGGUAUAACCCGGUACGUCAAAAUACCCAAAUGGACCCAAAUGGAAAUAUAAAUAUGUUUUAUUGACAUGAAUGAAAUAUUAAAAGGAAAUAAAUAUUUUUUAUUUAGUUUUAUGAUGUACUGUGAUAUAUUAUUUUAUAUUGUUAUAUCUGAAUUAAAUAUUUCAUAUAACUAUAUGCGAGGUUGUUUUAUUUCAUAUAAAAGUAUUUAUAUAAGAUAUAUUAAUAAAUUAUGAAAAAAUAUGUGUGAAAUAUGAUAAAGUUUAGAGAGGGUAAUUGAUUCUAACUGUCCAAUAAGAUCGAUGAGUGUUUGGAGUAUUUUGCUUCGACCAAUGAGAUAUCAAAUUGUUAUUUUGAGAAGAUAAUUAUGAGACUUUUACUUUAUAAAAACACUAGUUUUGAUGACGAUAUAAUUUCUUGCCGAUAUUUUUCUCCACGAAGACUUUGGAUUCUUUGAACGGUAAGUCUGUUUUAUACUUUGUUAAAAAAUAAUUUUCAUGUUAAAUACAGUUGGGAUAAUCAUUGAAAUUACAUAGGAAAUGAAUAGCGUACUUAAGACACAAAUAAUUUUGAUUAAACACGCAGAAUGAUUCGCUUUAAAAUGAAAUAUUAUAAUCGCACGUUUUAUUGAAGAUGAUACAUCCUCAACAUUAUACAUAUAAUCUUUUCAAAUGGAAUAUAUCGAUUUAAAUCUUAUUCAAAUUAAAGUGGGUUUUUUUAAUUGUUUGAGUUCAAGGUGUCUAAUCCUGAGUGUGGUACUUUCGAUAUACAGUAUACAAGAUAGAUAAACAACUCUACCUUUUUUUUUUUUUUAGUGCUAGCUAGGCUAGACAGAUAGUUCACUAGCUAUAUCAGAGAUAAAUUUUUGUAAGCCUUAAUCGAUAAGGAAAUUAUGUAAUCAUAUUAUUUUAUUUCGUAUUUUUUUUAUUAUAAGUUAUUUAUUAUUAAGUAUUAGUUUUUUAAAAAAUUAUUAGAAUUAAUAAUUGUGCAAAAUUAAGUUCCAUUUGGGUCCAUUUGAUUUCCAUUUGGGUCCAUUUGGGUAUUUCGACGCACCCGGUAUAACCGGAAGUGUGCGAAUCAGGUAUUUACGUACUAUAAGAAAAAUACGUUUGAUUGUUCCUGAUCAAUUUCACGUAUAUACUUUACGAUUUUUAAUCAUUUGAAGUCAUAAAGGUUUUUAGUUCCUUGAUUCCGGUAUUUCCUCUAAUCGCUGAUUGGUCAAAUCGGCUCCGCUCUCCAUUUUCAAACAAGAUAGCGUCGUUUCAAGAAGGUGAAAGUUGAAAGGUUCUAUUAUUACUUUGUUCAACGAACCAUGUAUGCCCUUAUGGAGUGGAUAGAGGAAGAAAAGGUCAGCAUCAUAACCUUAUCACGCAUCAAAGAUCCAAGAAAGGAGUUUUGCCAGUAUAAAGUCGGGGAUUUGGUGAAAGCCAGCUGCCAUGGCUUUCCUGGCGUGCCAAGAUCUUAGGUAUAGGCCUUUUCAAGCAAGUUUCUGUUUACAAUAUUUACACAAAUUUUGUCAGAAUGUAUUAAGUUUAUUUUAACUUGAGGAUAAUUAAAAUUGCAGUUGGACUAUACAGUCCUACAUAUUAGCCCUUCUUGAUUCCCUCCAUUUUGUUGACAAACUACAUAUUCUUUUGUGGGCAAACAUUUUUGAAUAAUAAAAGUACGAUUAUGAUAAUUUACGUGAUUUUGAAAUAAGAAAAUGUGUUUAUAAUAGUAUAGAAUUUCCCUUUCCUAAUACUGAAAAAAAUAUUUAUUAGGUGGCAAGGCCAUCUUUAAGAAAAUAUUUGCUUGCCCUCUAGGCCUCUCCCGACUCGGGAUAAAAAGGGUCGGGUAGGAAAGUAGGGAGAAAAUUCUUUUUUAUUCACAUGAAGUUAAAAAAGCUAUAAAUUAGAUAAGAAAAUUUCGGAAUGGGUAAUAAAAAAAAAAUGUUUCCUGGAGGUUAAAAAGGUUUUUGAGUCUUUUUUAAUCUUUAAUAAUAAAUGGAUUGUGAUUUUCUUUUAUCUUGGCUUCUUUUUCUUAUUCUAGAUGCAUGAUGGAGCUGAUGCCUGGUAGUGGGAUCUAAGUUUAUCCCAAAGAUAUACGAGCUUUAUAUAUAUAAGCAAAAAAAAAAAAAAAGUGGAACUUGUCAGGAGGGGGAACCUAACUGGUGCAAAUGAAAAGGAAGGUCUUGAAAAGACCAUUUUAAACACUAUUCUUGACGAUGACAGGAUUCAGAGGCCAUUGUCAAGUUUUCGAUGAGGACCAAGAUUAGUUCCCAAGUCAGCCUCCAGAACAUGAAACAGACCUAACUUUUAUAAAUUCAGUAAUGUGAUAUAUAUAUAUAUAUAUAUAUAUAUAUAUAUAUAUAUAUGGGAUUCCCUUCAUAAGGGAUUGUCCAAUUUUCAAUGUGAUAAUAUGUACAAAGAGUUAGUGAUAAAUAUUUUAUUUAUAUUUUUGUGCCAAACUUUAUAAAUGAAAUUAAUUAUACCAAUAAUAGUCGCUGUUUAUAAUCGGUAAUGUCUUAUUAUCCCCAUAUUUAUUAUAAAUAACUUUUUUGUAACUUUUCCAUAACUUUUGUCGGGUAUAACUUUGUUGUAACUUUUUCCAUAACUUUUGUUGGGUAUAACUUUUUUGUAACUUUUCCAUAACUUUUGUCAGGUAUAACUUUUUUGUAACUUCUUCCCUAACUUUUGUUGGCUAUAACUUUUUUGUAACUUUUUCCAUAACUUUUGUUCCCCUCUGAAAAUAAAUCCCACUUUUUUGCUUAAUUGAAGGAUAUCCCUGGAAGUCCUGGGACUUCCUUGUGAAGUCCCACUUCUCCCAUGUCCUAAUGCAGUAGGAUAAUACAGGACUUCAUGUUUCUGCAUUUGUCCAGGAAUAUCCCACUUACAUCAAGAGUGACUUUGCAAGAAUUUCUAGGACAUAUUUAUUACCUAAAUGUCUUACAAAGUCCCACUCUCAUAGCAGCAGGUUUUUCUAGGACAUUCUUGUGUUUUUCAGGACUUUAUUAUAAAAUGAAGACGAAAACAUCGUCCCAGAAAUUCCCUAAAAAUCUCAUACUUGAUACAUUCAAGAUAAUGCAAGACUUUACAUUGCUUUCCAGGACUUCGUAUUAAAAGUAUGCAAAGAGAGAAGAAGUCUUGCAAUUACCCUCAAAAUCUUACAACCAGUGAAGUCAGAUUAUAAAGGACUUUAAUGAGGGUUACAGGACUUUUAGAUAUUAAUUGUUACAAAAUUAAAUCCUUGUCAUAUCAAAGAAAAGAUUUUACAUUUUCUGGAUUACCUUGACAUGUCAUUGCUACAUAGUUCAGGCUAAAAAAAACCUAUAAGAACAGUGAAUGAUUCGUGGAUAAGAACAUUUAUGUAUACAACAACAAUCAUGUCAUAAUAAGUUGUAAUAGAAAAGACUAUAUUUCAUCAAAAGUAGACUUGAAAAAUGUUGGCUAUGAGAACACUUCUUAUAAAUUUAUAAUGACAACAAUCUGAACUUGAAUAAAAAUCACUUUACUGUCAAAUGCGCUAUUGAAAUCCUCAAUGUCACUUGAAUGACUACCAUAAUUUGAGUUUUGAGAUGCUUCAUCACAGGAGUUCAAUCGGGUUUGUCAUGAUUGUUUUUUUUUUUAGGUUAGAAUAUUGUCCAGUGUAUUAUUAAGAUCAUUUUGAUAACAGAUUUCCAGUUCCUGGGCUACCUUCUUCAAAAUAAAGAAGAUCCCUUUUUGUGAAAGAAUGUUCAAAAAUUCAUCAGAUUCUGUGGUAGGCUUUUCCAUUUCCAGAGAUGACACAGCGGCAUUAAUGUUCGAAACUGAACUUUAAGAAAUGUCUGUAUCAAAAGGAUUGCAAUUCAGGCUCAAGUGAUGAUAAGUUAAAAGGAUUUUCCAAUGUCACGGUCGUAUCACUUGAAGUACCAAUGGCAUAUCAACUUUUGGAUGUCACCACUGAAGAUUGCAGUUGAUGUUUUAAUAUUUAGUAUAUUUAGGAAUUCGCAUGUUUACAUCUUUCUUGCACAGCAUGUACCUUUUGGGUUCUCAAUCUCCUGCAAUAAUAAUUAAUUACAAAUUAUUAAUGAAGAAACUUAAUUUUCAAGACACUGAUUAAAAAUUUCAUAUUUAGAAAAGUUUCUUUGACACAUCAAUGUUUUGAGGUGCAAAUAGCAAUAAAUUAUCACUGAUGGAUACAAUCAGCUUGCCAUGCUAAAUUUUGUAACCGUACUGUCCGUAGUUAUUUUACGAAGCAGUAAUAAUUACAGAACAAGGUCAACUGAUCGAAACAGAAUCAUAAUGAUGGAUAUCCAUGAUACAAUGUUCUGGUGAUUAUACCCUUUCCAUCUAGAUCGAACCAGUCAAUGGUUUACGUUAAAAAAAAAAAAGAGUAGUUUGUUUUGAUAUGUUAAGCUGUAAAUAGAAUGAUUGUAUCGAGGAAUUUCGAGUGG